rnacentral:rRNA from 1 species
CAAUAGCGUAUAUUUAAGUUGCUGCAGUUAAAAAGCUCGUAGUUGGAUUUCGGGUGGGAAUGGCCGGUCCGCCGUUUCGGUGUGCACUUGCUACGCCCACCUUGCUGCCGGGGACGUGCUCUUGAGUUCACGCUCGGGACACGGAGUCGGCGAGGUUACUUUGAGUAAAUUAGAGUGUUCCAAGCAGGCCGAUUGCUUUGAAUACAUUAGCAUGGAAUAAUGGAAUAGGGCUGCGUGACUCGUCGUCUUCGGGCGGCGGGUCCUCGUGUCCUAUUUUGUUGGUUUUCGGGACCGCAGUCAUGGUCAAGAGGGACAGUUGGGGGCAUUCGUAUUCAGUUGUCAGAGGUGAAAUUCUUGGAUUUACGGAAGACGAACAACUGCGAAAGCAUUUGCCAAGGAUGUUUUCAUUAA